GAUGAUCCCGGUUUCGGCCGGGGGAUUAGUGGCGAACGGGUGAGUAACACGUGGGUAACCUGCCCCCGACUCCGGGAUAAGCCUGGGAAACCGGGUCUAAUACCGGAUACGACCUCCUGCCGCAUGGCGGGGGGUGGAAAGAUUUCUCGGUCGGGGAUGGACUCGCGGCCUAUCAGCUUGUUGGCGGGGUAACGGCCCACCAAGGCGACGACGGGUAGCCGGCCUGAGAGGGUGACCGGCCACACUGGGACUGAGACACGGCCCAGACUCCUACGGGAGGCAGCAGUGGGGAAUAUUGCACAAUGGGCGCAAGCCUGAUGCAGCGACGCCGCGUGAGGGAUGACGGCCUUCGGGUUGUAAACCUCUUUCGGCAGGGAAGAAGCGCAAGUGACGGUACCUGCGGAAGAAGCGCCGGCUAACUACGUGCCAGCAGCCGCGGUAAUACGUAGGGCGCAAGCGUUGUCCGGAAUUAUUGGGCGUAAAGAGCUCGUAGGCGGUUUGCCGCGUCUGCCGUGAAAGCCCGGGGCUCAACCCCGGGUCUGCGGUGGGUACGGGCAGACUGGAGUGCAGUAGGGGAGACCGGAAUUCCUGGUGUAGCGGUGAAAUGCGCAGAUAUCAGGAGGAACACCGAUGGCGAAGGCAGGUCUCUGGGCUGUAACUGACGCUGAGGAGCGAAAGCAUGGGGAGCGAACAGGAUUAGAUACCCUGGUAGUCCAUGCCGUAAACGUUGGGCACUAGGUGUGGGGGACAUUCCACGUCUUCCGCGCCGCAGCUAACGCAUUAAGUGCCCCGCCUGGGGAGUAC
rnacentral:rRNA from 1 species